GAUGAACGCUGGCGGCGUGCCUAAUACAUGCAAGUCGAGCGAAUGGAUUAAGUGCUUGCUCUUAUGAAGUUAGCGGCGGACGGGUGAGUAACACGUUGGUAACCUGCCCAUAAGACUGGGAUAACUCCGGUAAACCUGGGCUAAUACCGGAUAAUAUUUUGAACUGCAUGGUUCAAAAUAGAAAGGCGGCGUCGGCUGUAACUUAUGGAUGGACCCGCGUCGCAUUAGCUAGUUGGUGAGGUAACGGCUCACCAAGGCAACGAUGCGUAGCCGACCUGAGAGGGUGAACGGCCACACUGGGACUGAGACACGGCCCAGACUCCUACGGGAGGCAGCAGUAGGGAAUCUUCCGCAAUGGACGAAAGUCUGACGGAGCAACGCCGCGUGAGUGAUGAAGGCUUUCGGGUCGUAAAACUCUGUUGUUAGGGAAGAACAAGUGCUAGUUGAAUAAGCUGGCACCUUGACGGUACCUAACCAGAAAGCCACGGCUAACUACGUGCCAGCCGCCGCGGUAA
rnacentral:rRNA from 1 species